GACGAACGCUGGCGGCGUGCUUAACACAUGCAAGUCGAGCGGAAAGGCCCUUCGGGGUACUCGAGCGGCGAACGGGUGAGUAACACGUGAGUAACCUGCCCCAGACUUUGGGAUAACCCUCGGAAACGGGGGCUAAUACCGGAUACGACACAGCUUCGCAUGGGGUCUGUGUGGAAAGUUCUUCGGUUUGGGAUGGGCUCGCGGCCUAUCAGCUUGUUGGUGGGGUGAUGGCCUACCAAGGCGACGACGGGUAGCCGGCCUGAGAGGGCGACCGGCCACACUGGGACUGAGACACGGCCCAGACUCCUACGGGAGGCAGCAGUGGGGAAUAUUGCACAAUGGGCGGAAGCCUGAUGCAGCGACGCCGCGUGAGGGAUGACGGCCUUCGGGUUGUAAACCUCUUUCAGCAGGGACGAAGCGUAAGUGACGGUACCUGCAGAAGAAGCGCCGGCCAACUACGUG
rnacentral:rRNA from 1 species